UACGGAGGGUGCAAGCGUUAUCCGGAUUCACUGGGUUUAAAGGGUGCGUAGGUGGCCCUGUAAGUCAGUGGUGAAAUAUCUCAGCUUAACUGAGUGGGUGCCAUUGAUACUGCAGGGCUUGAGUACAGAUGAGGUAGGCGGAAUUGACGGUGUAGCGGUGAAAUGCAUAGAUAUCGUCAAGAACACCGAUAGCGAAGGCAGCUUACCAAGCUGUAACUGACACUGAGGCACGAAAGUGUGGGGAUCAAACAGG
rnacentral:rRNA from 1 species